GUAAGACUGGAGCUCAGUGAAUGAGAAAAUCCUAUGUGAUCCUUAGUUAUCUGGGUUUCCUGACUUUGCCAAGCUCCUUAAGUUUCUAGCCCUUACUCUGCUGACAGACACCUAUGAAGAAAUUGGGGGGAUCUUUAGCCUGGAGAAGAGAACAUUUACAAGGGGACAGGAUAAUUUUCUUCAAAUAUUUGUAGGUCUGUCAUGUGGAAGAUGGAUUAAGACUUGCUCUGCUUAGCACCAGAGGCCAAACCUAGAAAGAAUGCCUGAAAGCUGCAGAGAGGCAAAAGUAAGCUGAAUGUCAGGAAGAAGAAAACUUCCUAACAACUAGAGAUGUUGGAAGGUAUAACCAGAUGCUUCCCAAGCCAAGAGGUUCCUCAUUAUUGGAGAUCUUCAAGCAAAGGCUGGAGGAUCCUUCAUUGGGAAAGAAAGGAACAAUGCAGUGUAUAAUUUGGACAAGCUCUUCCUGCUCUAAGGACCAAGAAGGGAAGGAAGUCUGGUUCAGGUUGCACUGGAAAUAUUGCAGAUUCUGUUCUAUACCAUGCUGACUCCUGAUUACUCUACCAUUGACUUCUUAUGUUCUUGGACAACCACUCAUCUGCUGCAGGAGAAAGUCAAUUCUGAAGCAUCUUUCAUCACUAACAGAGUUACAAUGUAGAUAUGGUUUAGGGAGAAGGGGAUGUUGAUUAUUUGGUUAUAGAGAGAAAAACGUUGAUUCUCUGUCUCACUUCCUUAGCUUUUAGUAUGAUUGCUAAAAAUGAACAUAAUUGGAGCUAAUUCUCUUCUACAAAAUAAAAUGAUCACUAAUAUUAAACA
rnacentral:lncRNA from 1 species